rnacentral:rRNA from 1 species
CCAAUAGCGUAUAUUAAAGUUGUUGCAGUUAAAAAGCUCGUAGUUGAAUUUCGGGGUUAGUAGGUUGGUCAUGCCUCUGGUAUGUACUGGUCUCACUGAUUCCUCCUUCCUGAUGAACCGUAAUGCCAUUUAUUUGGUGUUGCGGGGAAUUUGGACUGUUACUUUGAAAAAAUUAGAGUGUUUAAAGCAAGCUAACGCUUGAAUACAUUAGCAUGGAAUAAUGAAAUAGGACGUUCGAUCCUAUUUUGUUGGUUUCUAGGAUUGACGUAAUGAUUAAUAGGGAUAGUUGGGGGCAUUAGUAUUCAAUUGUCAGAGGUGAAAUUCUUGGAUUUAUUGAAGACUAACUACUGCGAAAGCAUUUGCCAAGGAUGUUUUCAUUAAUCAGGAACGAAAGUUAGGGGAUCGAAGACGAUCAGAUACCGUCGUAGUCUUAACCAUAAACUAUGCCGACUAGGGAUCGGAUGAUGUUAAUUUUUUAAUGACUCAUUCGGCGCCUUACG